UACGGAGGAUCCAAGCGUUAUCCGGAUUUAUUGGGUUUAAAGGGUGCGUAGGCGGCUUAUUAAGUCAGGGGCGAAAGACGGUGGCUCAACCAUCGCAGUGCCUUUGAUACUGAUGAGCUUGAAUACACUUGAGGUAGGCGGAAUGUGACAAGUAGCGGUGAAAUGCAUAGAUAUGUCACAGAACACCAAUUGCGAAGGCAGCUUACUAAGGUGCAAUUGACGCUGAGGCACGAAAGCGUGGGGAUCAAACAGG
rnacentral:rRNA from 1 species